AGGAAUUUAACAAAAUCACGCAGCAGUCUUUACCUAUUUCCUGAAGUUGUCUGACAGCUAUCCUUCUUCUCCGCCUAACAACAUAACAGUAGUUUUACUUCAACAGGCGUUUAUACAUCUGCUGAAGUAUGCAAGCUACUUGUUACGCUCUUAAUUGCCCGUAAACAGUAACCAUUACCGAAAGGUAUUGGUAACCCCUUGAAAAUCCUCCGUGAUCGGGAUCGGGAAUUGCAAUUAUUUCCCUUGAACGAGGAAUUCCUAGUAAGUGUGAGUCAUCAGCUCACGUUGAUUACGUCUAUAUUUUUCAAGGUAAA
rnacentral:ncRNA from 1 species